rnacentral:lncRNA from 1 species
CUGCGAGUGUGUGAGACUGUGCGUGUGAGACUGUAUGUGAGAGACUGAGCGAGAGUGUGAGAGACUGUGUGUGAGAGACCGUGAGUGUGAGGCCGUGUGUGAGAGACCGUGUGUGAGAGACCGUGUGUGAGAGACCGUGUGUGUGAGAGGCUGUGUGUGAGAGACCGUGUGUGUGAGAGGCCGUGAGUGUGGGAGGCUGUGUGUGGGAGAGAGUGGGCUGGCGAGGGAGAGGAGAGCGUGUGUGUGGGGCGUGAGAAGCGCGCGCACACUGUCGCGCUCUCGUGGGUCCGCGGCCGCCUGGCCCCGGGGCUGUGGGGCGCGCGCCUGUCCCGAGCCGCCGGCCGGCCUGUGCGCGUCACCGCCCCUGUCCCGGGCCCCUCGGAGGCUCCGCGCGUGCUGCCUGGCGGGGUUGGUUGGUGCAGCCUUGGGAGCGUCCGGUGGGGUGUCUGCCUUUGUGUGUGUUUCAAUAACUGGCCUAGGCCUGCCCAGGAAUGGGGGAAGCGUGCUCUGCUCCUUGGUGAUUUCCUAGUUCUGCGUCCCCUUCCACUCCUAGGUGUGAUUUCCUGCUCCUCCAGAGAAGAACAAUAAGAGUGGAGGAAAAAGGGACCCAGGCGUAGGACAGGAGGAAUGAACAGCAGAACUUGCCCUUCUUCCCAAAUCACUCAGACCAAAUUUGACAGGAGCCAGGAGGGAAAUCAACCAACACAGACUUGGAUUGAGGUGUCUGGAAGAGAAGGAGCUGGUAGACAGCCUAUUAUUUCCCUCCUUCUCCACCUCUCAUGGGGUGAAUCGGCAGGUACAAGCUCUUUGAGAAAAAUAGCGGGUAGAAGGGACUACGCGCUCACCACCGUCUCUCUGGGACCUUGCUCUGGACUGAAAUCCCCUGAGAACUGCACCUGAGUAGAAGGCUGUACACCUUCAAGCUUUUUCUCUGAAUCAUUAAUGAAGGAGGUUCUGGGAAGUCUUCGCCUACACAGGGAAUUCCUGAGGAACACUUUUCAGAGACGAAUCGACUCACUGCGGUUGCACCUUAUCCAUUGACCAGUGAAUCAGGAAACAGUUCAGGUGUCAGCUUCUGAAAAAUCUCCACUCCAGCUCCAGGGAUGAUAUGCUCUUCUUGUGCACCCACACGGCACACUGAGAGUAUGGCUCUGCUGUUGAACCUGUCACCUCGCAUGGAAAUAAUCUUUUACAUGUCCAUCUCCCCCCACAGUAAAUAGCUUGAGGAUAGAAAAUUUGUUGUAUUCAUUUCUAUGUCUUAGCAUGUAAUAGUGAUCAGUGUCUGUGUCUUUGAUCCAAGCUAAGAGCUUCUCUGGGAAGGUCAUCUUGGUCUGAACUUUCUUCUCCAAACUCCAAUGGCAUUUAUCCUAUCCCUUCUCACUUAAUAUCCUUUUGCUAAUUCCUGUGUAUGGACUCUCUCUUGGAAGUGACUGAAAAUCCAACUCAUAUCAGCUUAAGCAAAAAAAGGAAUUUAUUGGAUCAUUAAUCUAGAAAUCUAAAUUGUGGAGUUGUCUUCAGGAAUAACUGGUUUCAGGAACUCACCAGAUGUUGGCAGGACCUGGCUUCUGUCCUUGACUUAGCUCUGACUUUCUCUGGCACAUACAGGCUCACAUCCUCCCCGCGUUCAAGUCCAGGGGAAAAGAGUGUGCCUCCCUCUCCUUCUCCCCCUCACUCCUGUAAAAGCUUGGGGAUUGGCUCUGAUUGAGUCAUGUACCUGUGUGGCCCAAUAAGGCAGAGAAACCAAAUGUCACUGUUAUUGCUGCUGAAAGAUAAUUUAGAGGACUAUCUUAGUGUGAGAGCAAAUAGAUUUAAUAAACUGAACCUGAGAAUAUUGUAGAUUAGCUACCAGGUCAUGACAACAGUAGAUUGACCCAAGUCUUUCCUGCCGCCCUUCCUUCUUCUGUAAAGGCUCAGCCUGUCCUGGGGAGCAGAGCAGGCUCUGUGUUCUCAUAGACCUAGCUCUUCAGAGAACACCUGGAGUUGCUGAGGUGAACAUGCCCAGUCUUUUCUUCCCAAGUGUAACAAUCAUAUAAAUCUCUCCACCUCUCCUUGGGCUGAGGGAGGAAUGGGGAAAAAGAAUGCUCGUUAUGAGACAGGAAUCAGCCUGAGACAAGGCCAUCUGCAAGGCCCCAGGUCUAACAAGAUAAGGCCCUAACAAGAUUGGCCCUAACCAAUCAGCAGCCUAGGAGAAUCAGACAGAGACCACCAAGAUCCCACAUUCCACAGCCUCUGGACUUUCCUGGGCUUGCACAUGCACCCUAGCACCCAGGAGUCCACUGAAGGUGACCCUAGCCCCAUUAACAUAGUAAAAAUCACUCCCAGGGGUGGAGAGCUAGUAUGCUAAUGACAAUGUGCCACAUGAGGUGGCGUGUUGAACAACAACGCAGGCACAAGCAUAACCCCAUCUCUACAUGCCAUGACAGAAGACACAUCCCCUGCCCCAGCCUGAUAAAAAUCCCCUCAAUGUGGCUCUUUGGGGAGCCACUCGCCUCUCUCUCUCUUCUCCCCUUUCUGUGAUUGGCUCCCUUGUGCACAAGCUGAUAAACUUUCUAUUAUCUCACUCUUGCUUGCUGUCUCUCUUGAUUUCCAUCUUCAGGGAGGACAAGAACCCAAUGUGCUGGUAACAAUUAGAAUAUUUGAGUAUCCUUAAAACAUAAGGGAAAUAUCAAGAGUGAGGAAGAAGCCAUUCUCUUCUAAUAGUGUCCUUCCCUGAACCAUUCUCUGUGACCAGAAGACAGCAGAAUCACCCAUGCUGGGUCACAUGGACACCCCCAAAG